rnacentral:misc_RNA from 1 species
UACGAACUGUGCGAACGUUAUUCGGAAUUACUGGGCUUAAAGGGUGCGUAGGCGGCGCGGUAAGUUGGGUGUGAAAUCCCUCGGCUCAACCGAGGAAUUGCGCCCAAAACUAUCGUGCUCGAGGGAGACAGAGGUGAGCGGAACUGAUGGUGGAGCGGUGAAAUGCGUUGAUAUCAUCAGGAACACCGGUGGCGAAAGCUGCUCACUGGGUCUCUUCUGACGCUGAGGCACGAAAGCUAGGGGAGCGAACGGG